UGCGACAGUAUGUUUUUUCCCCUUCUUAAACUAAACAUCCGGCGGUUUGUUGUUCGGUUGAUAUCUAGCCAAGUGAAAAACUACAGAUUAAGUUGUAUGGUGAUGGAGGGGGAACAACCUCAAGAGGACUGCGCCCAACCCCAGCCCUCCGCGUCCUGCUCCAAGAAGCCAGACAAGCCCCUCAACCAGCCCAAGAAGAAGCAGGACGGCCCCAAAGAUAAGGCCCAAACCCAGGGAGACGGCAAACCAAAGCCCAGGCCUCGCUACACGGACAAGGCCCGAAAGAAUGCCAAGAACAAGAAGGACAAAGGAGGGAAGAUGGGAGGAGAGGGGAAUGGAGUCCUAAACGGUGAGGCCAAACUGGAGGAGACGGUAGAAGAAGGAGGAGGCGACGCGGGGCCACAGAAUGACGGACAGGCUGCUACAGCCAACCAGGGAGGAGAUGGAGAUGUGGGUUCGCGACUGGAGACGGGGAGCAAGAGUUCUCCGUCUGAGAGAGAAGGGGGAUCCCGGGAGGGGAUAGAGUCAGGCCCUCAGGAAGAGGAGGAGGAGGAGAGCUGGGAUGCUCUCUUUGAUGACGAAGGAGAGUGUUUGGACCCCCAUGUGCUAGAGGAGCUGGCCAUAAAGCAGGGCAGGAAGAAGCGGCCGGUGCAGGAGGCCAGGUUUGACUACUACAGCUUGGAUCAGGAGAGAGAGGGGAACGAUGACACUGAGCUCAGGGAGGAUGAGCUGUCUAACAUCAUAGAAAUCUACGACUUCCCCACCGAGUUCAAGACUGAAGACCUGGUCAAAUCCUUCCAGGCCUACCAGCAGAGAGGCUUCGACAUCCAGUUUGUGGACGAUACACACGCCCUGGCUCUCUUCAACAGCCCCAUAGCAGCUCGGGAAGCUCUGAGGACCAAGCACCCGCUGUUGAAGGUCAGGUCUCUGGCUAAAGCCUCCGUCACCACCAGGGCCAAGGCUCGCAGCUGCUCAGACUACCUGCUCCCUACUAAGGAGCGUCCCCAGACCAGUGCAGUGUUGGCCCGCAGGCUGGUGAUGGGGGCGCUGGGCGUCAAGAGUCCCCAGAGCAAAGAGCACCGUGAAGCAGAGAGAAAAAAACUGCAAGAUGCCAAAGAGCAGAAGCGUCUGGCAGCUAAACAGAGAGACGACGCCUGGGAAGGGAAAGCCUGACGGAGAGGAACCACUUCCUGGCUUCUGCCCUCCAUCCCAUCCUCCCUUCACCGUAGGGACUAGACACACCUCUGUUCCCUCUGUCCUCCAUCCCAUCCUCCCUUCCCGUAGGGACUAGACACACCUCUGUCCCCACCCCCCCCCA